CAAGGGUUUGGUUCCCUGUGCAGGCCAGCCGCCAAAAAAAAUAAAUAAAUAAAUAAAAGCUUUAGUUUACCUAGUUAAUUUCUUAGGUUUACAUCUUGGUUCCCUUUUUAUCUCACAUGUAUAUAUGAACUUAGGCUUCCUGAACCAUUUUAUUUUUCUUUCCAAAAGAGACUAAUGGACAUUUAUGGGAGACAUGGGGCUGCCCUAGCAGUUUAGCUGAGAAAUGUAUCAGAAACUUCAUGAUUUUCUGUCCCCUCCUGUCUUAGGCUGACCGGUUCUCUGGUGUGUUACCUGCUUCUGAUCCAAACUGCAGAACUUCUCAUUCAUCCCCAAGGCCUCCAGGCAGUAUCCAAUGGGGAAUCAGCUCUAAAAGGAACCAGACCAGCGUUUUCCAGCCCCUUCAUUCUGCUACCUACCUCUGUGAGGAAAGGCUAGAAAACGUUCAGGACAUCAUACAGGCUCCUCAUCUACAAAGUUCCAGUAGCAGUGACGCCUACACGGAAGACUUGGAACUGCAAACAGAGGCUGGGGUCACCUCAGUGACAUCUGACGCUGUCCAACCAGAAGUUUGAUUUUUGUUUUGGGGGGGUGAAGAAGGAAGCAGACUACUAAAGGACUAAAAUAAUUUGUAC